rnacentral:rRNA from 1 species
GUGAAUACGUUCCCGGGCCUUGUACACACCGCCCGUCACGUCACGAAAGUCGGUAACACCCGAAGCCGGUGGCCCAACCCCUUGUGGGAGGGAGCUGUCGAAGGUGGGACUGGCGAUUGGGACGAAGUCGUAACAAGGUAGCCGUACCGGAAGGUGCGGCUGGAUCACCUCCUUUCUAAGGAG